AUGGCGGCGGACGGCGGGUUGAGGAGGCUGUUCGAGAAGCCACUGCCGGAGAACCCGACGCUGCUGGAGGCGCUGUCGGCGUGGAACCGCGUCCACCCCAAGAGGCCCGUCGACCCGACAUCCUUCACCGAGAUCUUCGGCGAGCUCCACUUCCAAGAGAAGCAGCAGCCGCAGCCGGACCACGUCGCCCGGGGCGGUGUCCUGCCGGCGCCGCGUCCGCCACCUUCACCUCCUCUUGUUCGCGCGACCACGGUGUCGUCCUCGUCGUGGAUCGACGCCGCCGAGAAGAGCAAGGACGACUCGUCUCUCGACGCGCUCCUCAGGUCGCCGAAGCCCACGCCGACGGUGAAGAGGAGCGCGAGCUUCUCCAUGAAGAAGAGCCCGUCCGCGUCGUCCCUGCUGCUCUGCACAGAGGGGCUCGGGUCCGAGAGCACCGUGGACGUGCUGAGGGAUGACGACGACGAGCUAGCCGCCGCGUUCCGCCGCCAGGUGGAGACAGGCGACGACGCGUACGUCGUCGACGCGAACCAGGAGGAGAAGGAGAACCAGCGGCCUCCGCCGUCGUUCCCGCCCCCGAUACGGUCGAUCAGCGUGCGCGGCGGGAAGCCGAGCGUGUGCUUCCGGUCGUUCCGUCCGGACGGCAGGUUCGUGCUGGUGGAGGUUGUCAUCCCCGGGAAGGAGCUCCUGCGGGCGUCGCGCGAGGGCGGUCGGCUCAGGCUGCAGUUCGCUGGCGCCACCGCACACGCGUAG
rnacentral:rRNA from 1 species